rnacentral:lncRNA from 1 species
AGAACACAGAUUUUAUUUUUACAAUGAAAAAUGUGAAUAGGUUAUAUUUAUUAACUAAAUGAGAUAAAAUCAAAUUCAUAUAAUAAAAUAAUUUUGUGUUGCUUGAUAAAAAUAUACUUAAAUCAAAAUUAAGAUAAAAGUUGAAUAUGAAACCAUGGACAAAUAUAUACCAGGUAGAUGAGUUUUUAAAAAAAAACAAUUAAGUGAUGAUUAAAUAAAGAAUCCUAUUGCUUGCUUAGCAUCAUUUAUAUAAUGUGUGAAAUACUAAUUUUUAAAUGUGUUUGUGUAAGUGUAACAAUUGGACACAAAUAGCCAAGAUAUAUUUUACAAAGAAAUAGAAUUAAGGUAAUGCUAGAUAUUAAAUCUCAUUCUCUUGCUUAGUUGCACUAUCCGUUGUUGAAAGUAGAAUAGUGAAGUCUUUAUUACCGGUAAAUUGUCUAUUGCUCUCUUCAAUUCUGUCAGUUUUGCUUCAUGUAUUUUGAGAUUCUGUUGUUACAUAUACAUAUAUUUAUAUUUGUUAUACCUUCUUGGUGAAUUUACCCUUAUGUCAUUAUAAAAUGUCCUUUGUCUCCAGGAACAACAUGUGUCUAUUUUGUCUAAUAUUAGCAUAGUCCCUCCAGCUCUCUGUUGGUUAUCCAUCUCUUUCCAUCAUAUUAAUUUCAACCAAUUUGUGUCUUUGAAUCAAAAGUGUGUUUCUUGUAUACAUAUUGUUGGAUAGAUAUAGCGUAUAUUUAUACAAUGUUUUUUUCAUUCACUCUUCCAAUUUCUGACUUUUAAUUGGAGAAUUUAAUCUAUUACUAUUUAAUAUAAGUAAGAUAGAAUUUACGUCUGCCAUUUUGUUAUUUGUUUUUUACGUGACUUACGUCUUUUUUGUUCUUCCUUUUUUUUUCCAUUACUGCCUUGUGUUAAAUAGAUAUCUUCCAGUACCACUUCUAUUUUCCAGUUAGUUCUUUUACUAUAUAUUUUUGAGUAUUUUAUCAUGAUUAUUAUUGGGGUUACCAUUAGCAUUUUAGCUUACAAUAAUCUAGUUUGGAUUACUACCAACUACUUCAAUAGUAUUUUUUUUAAUUUUGUUUCUAUAUAGCUUUGUUCCCCUACCCCUUAGGGCUGUUAUGGUCCCAAUAUACAUCUUCAUAUAUUUUGAGGCCUUAAUACAUUGUGUAUCAAUCUACUUAGAUGUACAAUUAUUGCAUUAGGCAGUAGUCUUUUAAAUCAGAUAGGAUAUUUUAAGAGGAGCUACAAACAAAACCAAAUUUCUACUUUCUUCUAUAUUUAUAUCUGUCCCAGGCAUAACCAUCUUAGAUCAUCCAGUCACCAGUCAACAACCCUCCAGCUGAGUGAGCCUAACCAAGAUCACCCUUGCCCUGUCCCAACCAGAAGAACCACCCAGCUGACCCUAGGCUCAUGAGCAAUCAUAAAUGUUUAUUGCUUUGCUCCACCAAGCUUUGAAGUGGUUUUCUUUACAGCAUUAUUGUGGAAGUAGAUAAAAAGUGAUUUAGUAAAUUUUUCUGUUUGAUUUGUGAUGUAUCCUUUUUCAUUCUGCUUCUUCACAUGCUACAUUCUGUAUCACCUCCAUUGUUCCUUCCAUCUAUCCAGUCUUUUUUUGCCAACACCACCCUUUUUGAUUUUUCACUUUUCUGUAUAUUCCAAUAUUUCAUUUUCCAAGAAAUGGGUAUUAAAUUCUUCUGCCACUUUCUCAGCAUAGAGGAUAUUGUAUGUUUUUUCUUAUUGGUUCUAUUGAUGUAAUGUUAUAUAUUCAUGAUUUAAUAAAUUAAACUGCUCAUGAAUUCAUGCAAAUAGGUUUUUCUCAGGAAUUCAUGAGACAGGUCUCAAUCAGUUUUGAAGUUUAUUUUGCCAAGGUCGAGGAUGUGACCAGGAGACAGGUCUGUGCCUUUCUUGAAAGAUGAUUUUGACGGCUUCAAUAUUUAACGGGAACAAGUGGCCUGAUUUUGGUAAUUAUGCUGUGGUUAUGUAAGAGAAUGCCCUUGUUCUUAGGUGAUGUUCCAAUUCAGAAUUUCAAAUUCCCAGAUUCUCGUGGACCCACUGGCCCUGCAGAAGUGGCCCACUUCCCCUGGUCAGAAGGUGACUGUCCCAGUAGUUUGAUGAUCAUGCAGAGGCCUCAGUUGAGGCAGAUUCUUUAUGAGACAUUCUUGCAUCCUCUCAGGAUAAGCCCCUACCUUCUCUCUUGACAACCAGACCAUUAACCAGGAUCAAAUUCCAGAAGACCAACUGGGCAUGUGAAGGCCUGU